GGAUAACAUGCCCUUAGGAGGGGGAUAAUCUCGAGAAAUUGAGGAUAAUACCCCAUAGGCCAUGAAUGCUGGAAUGCUUUAUGGCCCAAAGCUCCGGCGCCUAAGGAUUGGUCUGCGGCCUAUCAGGUUGUAGUGGGUGUAACGGACCCACUAGCCUAUGACGGGUAUGGGCCUUGAGAGAGGGAGCCCAGAGAUGGACUCUGAGACACGAGUCCAGGCCCUACGGGGCGCAGCAGUCGCGAAACCUUCACACUGGGGGAAACCCUGAUGAGGGAAUUCCUAGUGCCUGCAUUUUUUGUAGGCUUUUAUCUAGUGUAGAUAGCUAGAAGAAUAAGGGCCGGGUAAGACGGGUGCCAGCCGCCGCGGUAAUACCCGCGGCCCAAGUGGUGGUCGAUAUUAUUGAGUCUAAAACGUCCGUAGCCGGUUCAGUAAAUCUUUGGGUAAAUCGGCCAGCUUAACUGACCGAAUUCCGAAGAGACUGCUGAACUUGGGACCGGGAGAGGCCAGAGGUACUUCUGGGGUAGGGGUAAAAUCCUGUAAUCCUAGAAGGACCACCGGUGGCGAAGGCGUCUGGCUAGAACGGAUCCGACGGUGAGGGACGAAGCCCUGGGGCGCAAACGGGAUUAGAUACCCCGGUAGUCCAGGGUGUAAACGCUGCAGGCUUGGUGUUGGGGGUCCUUCGGGGGCGCCCAGUGCCGGAGAGAAGUUGUUAAGCCUGCUACUUGGGGAGUACGUCCGCAAGGAUGAAACU
rnacentral:rRNA from 2 species